AUCUUCUACUGUGCAAGAAAAAAAGAAACAAGGAGUUUACCCUAAAGCUAAAGGGGGAAUAAGAGCUAACUCACAAAUAACCCAGAAUUUAGUCCACCUACAUUGUAACUCAAAAGCCAGCUAUAAAAAGUGGAGGGGAAGGAGACAAAAGGAUUUUAUUUCGUGGACAAGUGCACACAGCAUUCAGCUUACAGCUUGACCAGAUAUACCAUUUGUGGAUUUUUGUGGGUUUUCCCCUUUCAUUUAAAAUUAAAGAGAGGCCUUCUAGACAUUCAAACCCUCUUGACUACAUUUCCUUAUUUAGCUGUCUCUGAAAACUCUCUAAUUGGGGGGCUCCUGGAAUUAACGGCAGGGCAGUGCUUUGAUUUCAGCUCCAGUGAGGAAUUAGAAGGGAGAGAAGCUCCUCAGUUUCCUUGUGAAGUGACCUCCAUCUCAUCUACAUACCAGAACCCUGGAGACUUAUUUAAAACACAGAUGCCAGGCUAACUCCUCUCCUGAAAGUAGCUUCUUUGGGGCGUAGGGGGACCAGAGGAGUGAACACAGUUACUGAUUUUCAGGAAAUGCAGAGGAUGGAAAAAUAAUGAGGUGUGGGGUUGCAACUGGUAAUAUUUGGAACAUGGGAGAAUCUGUGAGUGACCAGCUAUUUGCAAUUACAAGGAAGAAGGAGAGACUUCUUACAGCAGCAGUUCUCAAGAUUGUCUGAACAUUGGAAUCACCUGAGGAGCUUCAAAAACUCCUGAUGCCUGGGUUCCACCUCCACAGAGUGAUUUAAUUAUGGACUCACGGAUUCCUUGUUUAUUUAAUGAAUUAUCACCCAUUACUGUCAUUGUCUUUUUGAAACCAGCUCUUGUAUUGUUUCCAUAUGUCCCCAUUAGUUUUUAAAUGGUGUCUUUAUUUUCUGCUACAAGAUAUUUUAAGCUCAUCAGAUAUAUUUGCUUCUCCAGACCCGGAGUUGACCAUUUCUCCAAGGAGCACCUAUUGCCUUUAAUUCGAAAUGCCCCAUGGACUGUAGCACGCCACGCUUUCCCGUCCUUCACUGUUUCCUGGAGUUUGCUCAAACUCAUGUUCAUCGAGUUGGUGAUGCCAUCCAACCAUCUCAUCCUCUGUUGCCCCCUUCUCCUCCAGCCUUCAAUCUUUCCCAGCAUCAGGGUCUUUUUUUAAUGACCCGGCUAGGGUAACUGAAAGCCAUUGAAGGGCUCAAGCAGGAAAGAGACAAUAUUUGAUCUAUAU
ensembl:lncRNA